GACGAACGCUGGCGGCGUGCUUAACACAUGCAAGUCGAACGGAAAGGCCCUGCUUGCAGGGUGCUCGAGUGGCGAACGGGUGAGUAACACGUGGGUGAUCUGCCCCUUACUUUGGGAUAAGCCUGGGAAACUGGGUCUAGUACUGGAUAGGACCAUGCUGUAGGUGGUGUGGUGGAAAGAUUAGUUUCGGUAAGGGAUGAGCUCGCGGCCUAUCAGCUUGUUGGUGGGGUAAUGGCCUACCAAGGCGUCGACGGGGAGCCGGCCUGAGGGGGUGGACGGCCACAUUGGGGCUGGGAACAGGCCCAGACCCCUACGGGGGGCGGGGGGGGGGGAUGUUGCAAAAUGGGGGACAGCCUGAGGCGGGGACCCCGGGGGGGGGAUGACGGGCUUUGGGUUUAAAACCCCUUUCAGCCCAGACGAAACCCUUGGUGGGGGGGGAGGGGGAAAAAAAGCCCCCGGUAACCACC
rnacentral:rRNA from 1 species